rnacentral:tRNA from 1 species
AUUGAUUUGGCAGAUAAAAUGCAAUUGAUUUAGAAUCAAUUUAUAAUAUAGUUUAAUA